CCUACGGGUGGCAGCAGUGAGGAAUAUUGGUCAAUGGGCGAGAGCCUGAACCAGCCAAGUCGCGUGAAGGAUGACGGCCCUACGGGUUGUAAACUUCUUUUGUCAGGGAGCAAUUGGGUCCACGCGUGGGCUUAGCGAGAGUACCUGAAGAACAAGCAUCGGCUAACUCCGUACCAGCAGCCGCGGUAAUACGGGGGAUGCGGGCGUUAUCGGGAUUUAUUGGGUUUAAAGGGUGCGUAGGCGGAAUAUCAAGUCAGCGGGAAAAAUUCGGGGCUCAACCCCGUCGUGCCGUUGAAACUGAGGUGCUUGAGUGGGCGAGAAGUAUGCGGAAUGCGUGGUGUAGCGGUGAAAUGCAUAGAUAUCACGCAGAACUCCGAUGGCGAAGGCAGCAUGCCGGCGCCCAACUGACGCUGAAGCACGAAAGCGUGGGUAUCGAACAGGAUUAGAUACCCCAGUAGUC
rnacentral:rRNA from 1 species